rnacentral:ncRNA from 2 species
UUCUUAUCCAGAGAGGUGGAGGGAAAGGGCCCUACGAAACCCGGCAACCUGUGAUUUCACAAAGGUGCCAAUUCCUGUGGAAUAUUAUUUCACAAGAUAAGAA